UACGUAGGGUGCGAGCGUUGUCCGGAAUCAUUGGGCGUAAAGCGCGUGUAGGCGGCCAGGUAAGUCCGUUCUGAAAGCCCGGGGCUCGACCCCGGGAGGCGGAUGGAUACUGCUUGGCUCGAGUCCGGAAGAGGCGAGUGGAAUUCCCGGUGUAGCGGUGAAAUGCGCAGAUAUCGGGAGGAACACCAAUGGCGAAGGCAGCUCGCUGGGACGGUACUGACGCUGAGACGCGAAAGCGUGGGGAGCAAACAGG
rnacentral:rRNA from 1 species